AAAACGCAAUUUGCGGGAAGCAUUACUUUUUUGUUUCCAUUUGAAGAAAUCGGCAACUGAAAGUCUUUGUUUGCUGUCCAAAGCUUAUGGAAAUUAUGCUCCAUCGAUUUCAACGUGUGAAUACUGGUUUAGACGAUUCAAAAGUGCAGAUUUUGAUUUGGAAGACAAGGAGCGCCCUGGCCAACCGAAAAAGUUUGAAGACAAAGGAUAGGAGGCAUUGCUGAACGAAGAUCAAUGUCAAACGCUUAAAGAAUUGGCAAAAGCAUUAAAUGUAACCGAAAUGGCAGUCUCUAAACGUUUGAAGUCGAUGGAAAUGAUUCAAAAGCAAGGAAAUUAGGUGUCAUACGAAUUGAAACCAAGAGACAUUGAAAAGCGUUUUUUCAUGUGAAUUGCUGCUUCAACGGCAAAGAAGGAAGGGUUUUUUGCAUCAUAUCGUUUCUGGCGAUGAAAAAUGGAUACAUCAUGAGAAUCCCAAGCGCAGAAAAUCAUGGUGCAAGCUUGGCCAACCAUCAACAGCAAAGCCGAAUAUCCAUUGUUCGAAAGUAAUGCUCUGUAUUUGAUGGGAUCAAAAAGGUGUGGUCUAUUAUGAGUUGCUAAAACCUGGUGAAACCAUUACUGGGAACCGUUACCGACAACAACUAGCGGAGCUGAACCGAAAAUUAAAAGAAAAACAACCAGAAUACGCUAAAAGACACGACAAAGUGAUUUUCCAGCAUGAUAACGCUCGGCCACAUGUCGCUAAACCGGUUAAGGAACGCUAGAGCUGCUCGGAUGGGAUGUUCUACUCCACCCACCGUAUUCAGACAUUGCACCUUCUGAUUUCCACUUGUUUCGAUCCAUGCAGAAUCAUCUUUCUGACCAGCACUUCAGUUCUUUUGAAGAUAUCAAAAAUGGCUCGAUUCAUGGAUAAUCUCAAAAGACGAGUCGUUCUUCCGCCAAGAAAUCUGCCUUUUACCAGAAAGAUGGGAAAAAGUUAUAGUUAACGAUGGACAAUACUUUGAGUAACAUGUACUAUUCGAGAUUGCAGCAAUCUCGAACUUCGCAUGUUGUUGCCGCGCGACCGCGUCAUCGCCGCGCGCGCGAUGCGAGGCAGCGUUUCUGCGACCGAGCGAAAACGCGCAGCAACAACAAACAUCAUCGCCCUUCUCGAAGGAUCUCAGAUGAAAUUGUGACAAACAAGUCACAUAAAAACUGUCGGCGGAAGUGAGCAAAUUUCGGGAACCUUCUGGAUCCUUCGAGAAGGCGACGACCUUAUAAAAGUGAGCCGACAACCGAGCUCGGCGCAGUCCGCUAAAAACAAUCGACGCGUACACGCUAUCCGAGUGAUAAUAUAAAUUCAGUUUCGUUUAUAGAAAUAGUCGUAUAUUUCAGUGCCGUUGUGUGACUACCGAAGUUAUUCCGAGACAGACGAUUUAUCGCUGUUCGUCCGCCGCGAAUUAUAGUCGUACGACACGUAUAAUUACUCUUGUAAAAAGUGUACAUAUUCUAUUCGUCUUAGAAUCAAGCGCGUCUCGAUACUCGCGGGUGCGUUUGUCCAUCGGCCGUCUCAUUUCGCGCUUGUCUUUUCGGAGCACGCUCUCUCGCACGUUCACACAUAACUUUCGCGCACAUGUACUUAUGACUUUGUUUUGAAAUAAACGUUCGUUUUCACAAAAAAAUCCUUUAAAAUUAAGUUUAAUACCCAAAUUUUAAUAGAAUCAUUUAAUGCUUUUAAAUAUGAAAACUUUAUGGGCAUUAGGAAAUGAUAUUUGAGAUCUACUUAUAAGCCUUUACAUCAGUUAAAAAGGCAUGAUGCAGAAACCAGAGGACAGCUCGUUCCAAAAAGGACACAGAUAAAUCUAAUAAAAUUUUAUUGAAAAAUCAAUAUAAUGUUUACAGUUGUUGAAUUUGAUGAUUCAUGUGAUAAAUCUCAAACACUAGUAGAAGUAAUUCCUUCCAAAUGACUAUUUGGUAAUAAUACUAAGUGCAAAUAUCUACAUAAAAAAGAUAAGCUUAAAAUCACCCGUUUGGUUAUGUCAAAAAUAAAUCCGGGACAAGAUUGGAAUAUUUAUAAUCUUCAAUUUCAUCACUAUUAUAAUAAGUACCUACAAUACUGCUCUCAAAGCUGUUAAAACUGUUCUAAAAAGAGAAGUUGCUCGGACAGAAGCAGAUUACAAUCAACUAAAAAAGAGAAAAAAAAAACAAAAAAUACAUAUCAGAAGAUGAAGAGUUAAACAAAUCUCCAUCAAACAUCUCGAGUGAAAUACCUGCACCAAAUUCUUUUUACCAAAUUCUUUAAUUCUUUGCACCAAAUAAAUUAAAAGUACUUCUUAAAAACAGAUCGAUGAAAACAUGGGCUAUAUGCCAGCAAAAAGAUACAUUUGUUAGAAAAUUAUUUUCUUUUAAUUUUUUUGAUAGUAGAUUAAUUGAUUUCCAUGUAUUAGCGAAUUUUUUAUAUUAAUUAUUAGAUGCUUCCGUUUUUUUUAUUUGAAGUUCGAUUGCAUAAUUUAUUUUGUGAACUGUUACAGUUUUUUAAAAGUAUUUGUCUCCUCAAUCAACUAUGGAUGGUAAUGAACAACUUAUAAGAGAGUCAGACAGUUCUUCGAGCACAUUGUCUGAUGUACACCAUGAUUUCUUAAGGAAAAAAACAAAAUGUUUUCCCAAGGGACAUUAACAAAGCAAAUUCAUCUUUAAUAUUUGAUGAUUAUGAUAAAAACAACAAUCAACACGAUGAGAAUUUUGCUAAUAUAAUAUCCUUUGAAACUUCAAAAGAAAAUAAAGAUACCGUUUUAGGAAAAAAAAAAGCAAUUUAACGUCAGUAGGCAAUGAGAAUGAAGCACCUCUAAAUUCACCAUUUGAAGGUUUAUCAAAUGCAGAUCAUGAUUUACUGACGAAGAUAUUAAACCAUUUAAAGGAGCUUCAUGAAUCGAUUGUAUCUUGAUAGAGAUUUACUUCGAAAUAUGUCAAGUAAACUUGAUAUAGUGCUAAUGAAUCAACGCCGCAUAUUAAAUGAAAUAUUUCCUGGUGAAGCUAUCAUAGAGAGACCUGAAAAUUAUUCCCCCCCGCCAUUACGAGAUGAAAAGUCAUUUGAAGCAUUUAACAAUUGUUUGAAAGAUAAAAUUGCGUAUUCUCAGUUUAUAAGUGCAGCUAACCUCUCUGAAUAUUUAUUUAUGCCUUCUCUAAUACAUCAAUUCUUUUUAUAUAGUUAGCAUUUAUUUUGUGUGUUUUGAAGAUCAGCUAUCUUAAUGCACAUAUUCCUGAUGAUUCUGAUCAGUGGAAUGCUGCUAUUAGUCUCAUGUCUAUUGUAUUGCACAAUGAACUUGCAAGACAGUUCGAAGUAGAGGAAGUAGAGGAAAGAAACUAGAGGAGUGAAAAUCUCUUUUUAUGGAACAAGGACCAAGGUAAUGUUGAGGUUAUGCACAACUCAGUACUCAUACAUAUAGUGUAAGUUUUAAAUUAUUUGGUUCAAUAGUUAAUGAGAUAAAGUCUUGCAAAAUUGUCUUUUUUUUUUUAAAUCGGUGGAAUGGAAGAAACACUUGGGCAACGCGCCAACAUUAAAUUCUGCGUAAAAUUAGAGAAGUCUCCAAUAGAAACAUUACAAAUUAUUCAACAAGCUUACAGAGAGUCUAUGCAUAAGAGUAACGUUAUGAAAAGAAUAAAAAAAACGUGAAUCAAAUUUUGAAAGCUUGCUUCAAAGAAUUAUCAGUUUAGAACAAAUUCAUAUUAUCUGUUUUGAGCAAUGGCAGAGACGGAUUAAGUGGGUCGAGUUAGAUGGUGAUUACAUUGAAACUUUUUAACUAUCUAAGAUUUGUAUCAUCAAAAAUAAAUUUUUUAUAUGAAAGUAUCGAAAUUUAAUUGUUGCACCGUAUACUUACUUACGCACGCACGCAUGCACGCACGCACAU